rnacentral:rRNA from 1 species
GACGAACGCUGGCGGCGUGCUUAACACAUGCAAGUCGAACGGAAAGGCCCUGCUUUUGUGGGGUUCUCGAGUGGCGAACGGGUGAGUAACACGUGAGUAACCUGCCCUUGACUUUGGGAUAACUUCAGGAAACUGGGGCUAAUACCGGAUAGGAGCUCCUGCUGCAUGGUGGGGGUUGGAAAGUUUCGGCGGUCGGGGAUGGACUCGCGGAUUAUCAGCUUGUUGGUGGGGUAGUGGCUUACCAAGGCAUUGACGGGUAGGCGGCCUGAGAGGGUGACCGGCGACAAUGGGACUGAGAGACGGCCCAGACGCCUACGGGAGGCAGCAGUGGGGAAUAUUGCACAAUGGGCGCAAGCCUGAGGCAGCAACGCCGCGUUCGGGAUGACGGCCUGCGGGUUGUAAACCGCUUUCGCCUGUGACGAAGCGGGAGUGACGGUAAUGGGUAAAGAAGCACCGGCUAACUACGUG